GACGGAGGAUGCAAGUGUUAUCCGGAAUCACUGGGCGUAAAGCGUCUGUAGGUGGUUUAAAAAGUCUACUGUUAAAAAUUGAAGCUUAACUUCAAAGAUGCCGUAGAAACUUUUAAACUCGAGGAUGGUAGGGGUAGAGGGAAUUUCCAGUGGAGCGGUGAAAUGCGUAGAUCUUGGAAAGACCACCAAUGGCGAAGGCACUCUACUGGGCCAUUACUGACACUAAGGGACGAAAGCUAGGGGAGCAAAUGGG
rnacentral:rRNA from 1 species